GUAGUUGUUGAACCAUUGAUGAAUACGUUUGAAGAGGACCAACUGAGAAGGAAGGAGAUGCACAGGGAGAGCCAACAUCCUCAGUUAAACAGCCAUUACACAGACAACUGCUCCGACAGUCAUUCUUCCUUCAAUCAGGUAGUAAGUACCAUGUUAAAGAAUUUGCCUAAAAGUCACUCUUGCAAAGUGAGGAUCCACCCAACGAUCCAUUGAAUGGCUUUUUAUACACUACCGGACCAGUAUCAUUAUACCGUAUAAACAUAUUUUGUUGAUCUGGAUAAGUAAUACUAAUAUACUUGUAAAUCAUUACAUUAUAGGCUUAAGUUGUUUGUGUUGCCUCUGAGUUGAGUUUGCAAUCAGUGUAAUUUAUGCUGUCUAAUUAUAACUCCCGAGCACAAAAAAGUGAAUGUACAGUAAUUACACAUUAACUACAGUUGCAAAUGUUUCCUUAGGGUUAUGUAUUUAUCAAACAAUAGCAGCUGCAAGUACUUGCUGAAAGGUUGGACCCUAGUAGGCCUAAAGAGUUAAAAUGAUUUCAAUAUGAUUUCUAUUCUGUAUAAUUUGCUAGAUUAUUACUAGAUUGGUAAAAGUGUUAUUAAUUGCAUCCAAUGUUGUGUGGUCUCUGAGAGUGACAGUGAUGUGGUGUGCAAGUGCACUGGGAGGCCAUGCAGUGUCUGUGUGGUGCAUAGACCUCGGAUGUGCUGAGCUGUGGGAGUUGGAGCAGCCUGCAUAGGAACCUCUCAGCUGCACUGGCUGACCCAGAUCCUGACCUCAGUAUGAAACUAAUGAAUGAUUUUCAGAAGGAAGUGACAAUCUUUUGGAUUCGCCACCCACAAAAGUACAUUGAGGAGAUAAUAGAGUACUUUCUCCCUCCUGUCCUUACACCCUGAACACGGGUUAGAGACACAAGGGUCAGAGAAAGCCUUACACCUCAUUGCCUUACUGGAUAUCAAAGCCACCUGGUUUGGAUGGAUGGUGAGCACAAUAUUAACCUAGCUUCUAUUAACACUACAAGAAACCAACCCCGCCCAUAAGUAGGCUAACCAAUUGUCAGUGCUGAGUGAAGAUGAUGUCAGUCCUGUCUCUUCCAGCAUGGUUACUACAGCAGGACCGUGGUCUACAGGGUUCUGGAGAUGAAGUACAAGUCUCUGAUUUUGUAGCAGCUCUUCAGCAGUGUAUCUAUUGAGUCCUGUGACCCAUUCAUAGACGAGACGGGUGAGGUCAUCCACUCUAUCGAGAACCAGCACAUCAGUGAGUUCAGCUUUAAUCUACAAGAGUAUUUCUCUAUUCUAUUUCAAUUACAUUAAAACCAAGAUUUACUGUAGCACAACACCAACAAUUGACAUGUAGGCCAAUUUCAUAUCUAGUUGUUGGAGGUGAAAAUGUCUAUUUAUUUAACCUGUUCUAUAUCCCUUGAGAACUCGAUGCAGGCGCCAGAAGCCACCCCUCACAGCUUGCCUCCAUCUCUCCCUAUUGACCUAGUUCACACACCUCCUUAUCCCACUCUGUGGUGGAGGGUGUUUAGAUGCUGAAUAGGUCAAGUCUUGUUUAGGCGGACCGUAUCAGGAGUUAUCAGGCUGGUUUGUUUUCCUCUGUGGUCUUGGUCUGUCCUCCUCUCCAGGCCCAAUGGCUCUGCUACUAUCUAUCGCCAGAGUCGUGGAGUGCUCACAUGCACUGAUAGAGAUGACGACUGUGUAUACUGUAUAGUCUGGGGAGGAGCUGCAUAGUGUUGGUGGGGAUGGAGGGAAUCACUGACUGGUCAAGCUCAGGUAGUACAGGGCUCAUGAAAAGUCUUGAAAAGCCCAGAUUGUCUAUGACCAUGCAAUAUGUAUACAUCUUUUAGUCCACAAUAAAACUAAUGGCUUAUGUGUGGACUAGAGCUUACUCUAAUUUUGCUAAAUAACUUGUGGUAGGCUAUAUCAUUCUACGGGGUAAUUAAGUAAAGGAGACUCUGGGUUAUGGAAAUGCAGAAAGUAUUUAAGAAUCCAUUAGGUGUUUUGUCAUUUGGUUAGGACGGAACAUAUUACCUAUCCUACGCCUGUAUUCUAAUUCAGACUAGCUUCUCUAUUCUCUCUCAUGCUAAAUCCAUUGAGACACUAUUUUUCUCCAUACAUUGUUUCUCCUGAAUACAGUACAAAUGUCCACAGCCUCAUGUAUGAUAUGGAAGGCCGAGUGAAAAAGAGACGCUUAAUGCCUCACUAUGCUCUAUAGUUCUCCUUUAAACAUAGGUGUUAUUCCCUCCCUGCCUGUCUCCUGAGCCCAGAUAGCUGUGUUAUCGUCAGAGAGGAGGGAGUAUUUCUCCGGAACGUGCCUCGUGUUAUCUGGCGUAGAGUGAGGUUGCGUUCUUGACCUUGCUUUGGAUGAGCACAGAUAAACUGAACCCAUUGUCAGUGAUUGUACAAAGGCUUUUUGUCCCUUAAACACUCGUAACAUAUUGUACAAAUUGUAACAUCAAACACAUUUUUUGUUUUGCAGGACGAAAGAUAUAUACAAAAUAAUUGAUGUACACAACUGUACACAAUUCUGAGCACCAGUUUUGGCUCGUGAGUGCUACUUUCAAAAUUACUGGCUGAAAUUAUACAAAACCUUUGUAGUGUCAGAACUGCCCGUUGUGUGUUUUAAUUGUUUUAGCAUACGCUAAAAGAUAGGUUUGUGAAGAAAUUGUAUGAAAUUACAUCAGUAUGCUAUUUGUUAUACAUCAGUUUUACCUGAUCAGGUGUUAAUUGGGUCUAGACAGCAUUUUAUAUAUUAUGUUCCCACUGUUGAAUUAUGAUCUUGUUUCUGUUCAGGCAUUGCUAAAAGUACUCUACACUGCCAAAAAGCUGGAAUACACUUACUUUGUUCACUCAUUAUGUGUGCUAGGAAGGGAGAAUGGGAGAAAGCUCUUUCCCAUCAAAGUGGGGAAAAGCAAAGAUCCAGUCAGUCUGACAGACCUGGUUGUCAUUCUGAUUAGCAUCAUGUACCAACACCCCAAACCUCUGCACAGUGACUCGUUGCAUGCAGGCCAGAUUAAACUCCCCAGAAACUGCACUCAUAUAGCAGACACUCUCACAAGAAUUGUCACCACGGAAUGAGGAUUGUCGCUUUUCUUAUAUGAAAGAAAUCUAGUUUCUGCCGAGAGUGAAGGGCAAGACCAUGUGACAAGUUUGGCUACGGUGUGAUGGUGACACAGGUAGCAGCAACAACCCCUGGUGUGGUGGCAUUACACAGCUCAGGUUUCGUGCAGGCCUUAGUGGUGGAGCUGUGGUCGGUUCUGGAGUGUGGGAGAGAGGAAGUGAGGGUCGUUCACCCCAAGUCCACCCCCAUGGACUUCAUUGACAGCAGCUGUGUGAAGUUAAAAUAUCUUCUCAGUUUUUUACAGUUCUGUGUGCUUCCACACUCAGGGUUUCCUUAUGAUACCUCCUGAGGUCAAUCAGCAGGACAACUCAGCCUUGACAUACACAGUCAGCCUUCCUUAUGAGGUCAGAGAGGACUUACUACAGAGACCAAUAGAGUGCUCAAAACUGCAUGAGUGGCUGAUCUGUGUUGGCAGAUGUCAGUGAGCAGUGCUCUGAUUGAAGAUGGCGUUAUGAGUAUUGCCCUUGUUGUGUUAGCUCUGCAUGGUGAAUGGUUAAAGGCUGUGUGUGAAUGGUAGGUCUAUACCAAGAAUGGGCAACAUACUGCCAAUUCAAUCUGGUUUGGGAAAUUAUUAUUUGGGGAUAAAAAACACCUCAGGCCACUCUUGAACAUCUAAAACUAGAUACAAAAAGUAUAUAGAAAUUCGAAUGGACCUGCAGUAUACGUUUUCAAAUAACUGUCCUUUUUCUGGACCGCAAAUAUAUUUGGGCUAACAAAUCCGUCCGUGAAAUUGUGAAAUCCCGAUGUGGCCAUCGAGAUAAAAUGAUUGCCUAGCCCUGGUCUAUACCAUAUUCAGACAAGAUAGGAACCAGCCCAGUCAUAGAUAAAAACGACAGACACCAGACCUGCAAGAAUGACAAUGUGGGUUUUUAGAUCUGUUUUGGUAUGAUUUAUUCCAUAAAUUAAAUAACGGUGUCUGCCAGAUAAAUAUCCUAGCUCUUGUUUUCUCAUGUUUUAUUUAAAUCCAGUCUUUUGUAUUCACUAAUCUACAGGAAGUAAUCUACUCAUGUAUUCACAGUUUGUAUUUGUUUUUAUUAUGGAUCCCCAUUAGCUGCUGCCAAAGUAGCAGCUACUCUUCCUGGGUUCCAUCAAAAUUAAGGCAUUUUAUACAAUUUUAAAAACAUUACAAUACAUUCACAGAUGUCACAAUAUACUGUGUGCCCUCAGGCCCCUACUCCACCACUACCACAUAUCUACAGUACUCAAUCCAUGUGUAUGUAUAGUAGAGAUUGACAUGUAUAUUAUUAAUAUUAGCUCUCUGUGUACAUCCAAGGGCUGGCCUUUUCUGAGCCAAUUGCAAUUUUCCUAAGUCCUUACAGGCUCAAUUUUCCUAGGGCCUGUAGGACCUGUCUUGUUGAUAGUGUUAUUAAGAAGGCAGAGCAUCGCUUUAUUAUAGACAGACUUCUCCCCAUCUUAGCUAUUACUGCAUCAAUAUGUUUUGACUAUGACAGUUUACAAUCUCGGUUUACUCCAACAGUUUAGUCAUCUCAACUUGCUCAAUUUCCACAUUAUUUAUUACAAGAUUUAGUUGAGGUUUAGGGUUUAGUGAGUGUUUUGUUCCAAAUACAAUGUUUUUAGUUUUAGAAAUAUUUAGGGCUAACGUAUUCCUUGCCACCCACUCUGAAACUAACUGCAGCUCUUUGUUGAGUGUUGCAAUCAUUUCAGUCACGGUAGUAGCUGACGUGUAUAGUGUUGAGUCAUCCGCAUACAAAAACACUGGCUUUACUCAAAGUCAGUGUCAUGUUGUUAGUAAAAAUGUAAAAAAGCAAGGGGCCUAAACAGCUACCCUGGGGAAUUUCUGAUUCUAACUGGAUUAUAUUUGAGAGACUUCCAUUAAAGGACACCCUUUGUGUUCUGUUAGACAAGUAACUCUUUAUCCACAUUAUAGCAGGGGGAGUAAAGCCAUAACACAUAUGUUUUUCCAGCAGCAGACUAUGAUCGAUAAUGUCAAAAACUGCACUGAAGUCUAACAGUUGGUGUUCUGUGCAUCACUUUGAGUGUGAUCUAUCAAUAUGUCAGUCCUCUGAUACCCCUACAGCAAUACACACUGUCUGUAGCAGAUGUGAAUGUAAUUGUCAUCCUUUUGUUGAGAAGAAGUAGGUUAUUUGCAUGCAGAAUAAAUCUCUAGAGACUGAUUGAGUACAUUUCUAUAGUCCGAAUUCCUUAUUCCCCCACUCAAAGUAAUUUUUAAGCCGUUCGAAUUGAUAGAAUGUGUUUCAGACAUAAGGAAAUGGAUGGCUGCAAACUUUCUAUUUUUAAACUCGGACAAAACAGAGAUGCUUGUUCUAGGUCCCAAGAAACAAAGAGAUCUUCUGUUGAAUCUGACAAUUAAUCUUGAUGGUUGUACAGUCGCCCCAAAUAAAACUGUGAAGGACCUCAGCGUUACUCUAGACCCUGAUCUCUCUUUUGACGAACAUAUCAAGACUGUUUCAAGGACAGCUUUUUUCCAUUUACGUAACAACACAAAUCUGACAUUUUCUGUCCAAAAAUGAUGCAGAAAAAUUAAUCCAUGCUUUUGUCACUUCUUCGUUAGACUACUGCAAUGCUCUACUUUCCGGCUACCCGGAUAAAGCACUAAAUAAAGUUCAGUUAGUGCUAAAUACGGCUGCUGGAAUCCUGACUAGAACCCCAAAAAUUGAUCAUAUUACUCCAGUGCUAGCCUCCCUACACUGGCUUCCUGUUAAGGCAAGGGCUGAUUUCAAGGUUUUACUGCUAACCUACAAAGCAUUACAUGGGCUUGCUCCUACCUAUCUUUCCGAUUUGGUCCUGCCGUACAUACCUACACAUACGCUACGCUCACAAGACGCAGGGCUCCUAAUUGUCCCUAGAAUUUCUAAGCAAACAGCUGGAGGCAGGGCUUUCUCCUAUAGAGCUCCAUUUUUAUGGAAUGGUCUGCCUACCCAUGUGAGAGACGGAGAAUCGGUCUCAACCUUUAAGUCUUUAUUGAAGACUCAUCUCUUCAGUAGGUCCUAUGAUUGAGUGUAGUCUGGCCCAGGAGUGUGAAGGUGAACGGAAAGGCAUUGGAGCAACGAACCACCCUUGCUGUCUCUGCCUGGCCGGUUCCCCUCUCUCCACUGGGAUUCUCUGCCUCUAACCGUAUUACAGAGGCUGAGUCACUGGCUUACUGGUGCUCUUCCAUGCCGUCCCUAGGAGGGGUGCGUCACUUGAGUGGGUUGAGUCACUGACGUGGUCUUCCUUUCUGGGUUGGCGCCUCGCCCUUGGGUUGUGCCGUGGCGGAGAAACUUUGUGGGCUAUACUCGGCCUUGUCUCGGGGUGGUAAGUUGGUGGUUGAAGAUAUCCCUCUAGUGGUGUGGGGGCUGUGCUUUGGCAAAGUGGGUGGGGUUAUAUCCUGCCUGUUUGGCCCUGUCCGGGGGUAUCAUCAGAUGGGGCCACAGUGUCUCCUGACCCCUCCUGUCUCAGCCUCCAGUAUUUACAUUUACAUUACAUUUAAGUCAUUUAGCAGACGCUCUUAUCCAGAGCGACUUACAAAUUGGUGCAUUCACCUUAUGACAUCCAGUGGAACAGUCACUUUACAAUAGUGCAUCUAAAUCUUAAAAGGGGGGGGGGGUGAGAAGGAUUACUUAUCCUAUCCUAGGUAUUCCUUAAAGAGGUGGGGUUUCAGGU